ACCACCGAAAACAUCUAUAGCAGCCCUCUCCUCUAUUUUUCCGUCGCUGUAAGCUGUGUCCAAGUCUCACCGGAGUUGAAGCUUUCUGUCCUCGGUCCAGUGGCUUCCGGUGAGAUUCCGGCAAAGAUAUUUGCAUAUCUGGACUCCACGGAUCUCAAGCUUCGCAUAAAUGCCCCCGGAUCCAAAUUCUGACACCAUUGACUGUACCAAUUUUUGAACUCCGGUGUUUUUCUGACGCCGAGAAUUUUAAAUUUUUAGCUCG
rnacentral:lncRNA from 1 species